UAAUCGUGAACAAACAUUUAUUUGCCUCUCCUCUUAUCUUCCAUUAAGAAGUUCAUGCCUUCAGACUUCUUGCUUGGAAGGCCCCCCUUGACUCUUGGUGAGAUGCAGGGUUGCACUUGUCCAAUGCUUCACAUCAAGCAGGAAAGGAAUCUUCUAUGAUCUUAUUGGAAGAGAGCUGUU
rnacentral:lncRNA from 1 species